GUCUUUUUGAUUAUAAUUUAAAGUCUGACCUGCCCAAUGAGGAGUUAAAUGGCCGCGGUAAUUUGACCGUGCAAAGGUAGCAUAAUCAUUAGUUUUUUAAUUGAAAGCUGGUAUGAAGGGUUGGACGAGGGAGUAACUGUCUCAAUUUGAUUGUUGUUAGAAUUUUAUCUAUAAGUAAAAAAGCUUAUAUGUUUUUAAAAGACGAGAAGACCCUAUAGAAUUUCAUAUGUAGCUUUAUAUUAAAUGACUAGGAUUGAAGGUUUUUUAUGGAGUUACUUAUUUUGUUGGGGCGACAAAAAAACUUGAUGAACUUUUUUUAUUUUUAUUCAUUAAUUUAUGUGUUAUUGAUCCGUUAAUUACGAUUAUAAGAUAAAAUUACCUUAGGGAUAACAGCGUUAUUCUUUUUUAGAGUUCUUAUCGAAAGAAGAGUUUGCGACCUCGAUGUUGGAUUAAAAUUAACUUUUGGUGCAGGUGCUAGAAGGUUAGGUCUGUUCGACCUUUAAAAUUUUACA
rnacentral:rRNA from 1 species